GGGAUGUCGUAGGACUGAGAUCUUACCCGUUGAACCUGAUCUGGUUAAUACCAGCGUAGGAAGAGACUUGAA
rnacentral:ncRNA from 1 species